CGAUACUCCUGCCUCAGCCUCCCAAGUAGCUAGGAUUACAGGCGCCAGCCACCAUGCCUGGCUAAUUUUUGUAUUUUUAGUAGAGACGAGGUUUCACCAUGUUGGCCAGGCUGGUCUUGAACUCCUGACCUCUGGUGAUCCACCGCCUCGGCCUCCCAAAGUCCUGGGAUUACAGGCAUGAGCCACCGCGCCUGGCCAAGGCUGUUUCAUGAUACACAACAAUACUUAUCUGUUAGACUUUGUUAGUUGUUUUCUAUUAGCAUCAGCUGAAAGAACCUGCAGAUUAAACCUUCCCACCCGCUUCAUAUAGGCAUUCCGUUCAUAAUUUAUUUACUUCUGAGUAUCAUCAUUUUAAAAAAUAUCCAGCUAUUUGAGGAUAAUCAGGCAGUUACAAGUAGAAGUGACUACAGAUGAACUAACUGAAUGAAGAUGUGAAGAAACUACUUCCAUUCGAAAGCCAUCUGCUUACUUAAAAAGAAUCUAUUGAACAUGAGCUAUGUGAUAAGUACAUGGAAUAAAGAGAUAUGUUUGGCAUAUCUUGAAGAAGCAGAAACAUCACUGAAUAUCCAUCAGAUUGCAAGCCCUGCUAUUCCUCCUUCCCUUCUCCUCAACAUUUAGGUAAACUGGUAAGAGAUCCCAGGUGUUCCCUCCUUGGGCACUAGUGAGCAAUUAAAAUCAUGUAAGACCCUGCCCACAUGGCAACCCUCAGUGAAAAUCUAAAAAUAUGAAAACUAAGUCUUCAGAGCGGCAGCAAUGAAUCAAACCUAUUACUGAGACUUUAAGCCUCUCCAGCUGCAUGUGAAGGAGGUGUGAAAAAAUGAAAGUUCAAUAAUCUAAAAAAAAGUAGUGCCUUUCCGCACUUUGUGGGAUGGUGGUGAUUGUGGAGCACACAAAGUAGUAUUCACUCAGUGGGUGAUUUUUGCAGUAGCAGUCUGAUCUAAGUCUAAAUCUCAAUCCAAAAUUAAAACUCAAGAUGUGUUUCAUUGCUUCUGAGCCAACAUUUUUCUGAACUGUAUUCUCUAGCUAAGCUCUUCUAUGUCUCUGAUCAUCUUGUGAUUUUACCUUAUUUCAAGUGAAAGUCUUUAGAACAUCCCUUUUGAAAAAAAAUGUGCAAUUUUAAAACACACCUGCCUGGAUGAUUGCUUCUUAUUUUCAUUACCUCAUUUGGAAAAUCAUAAAUUGUCUCUUAUAUAAGAUGGAAUAGUAAAAUGGAGUGGAAAAUGUCUCCAGAAUUUCAUGUUUCUUACUGUGUUAUCCUGGGAGAUCCUCAAUUUACAGAAUAUAGCUACAAGGAUUUUUCAGUCUUUU
rnacentral:lncRNA from 1 species